AGAGUUUGAUCCUGGCUCAGGACGAACGCUGGCGGUGUGCUUAACACAUGCAAGUCGAACGAGGUAGCAAUACCUAGUGGCGGACGGGUGAGUAACGCGUGGGAAUCUGCCUUAAGAUGGGGGAUAACGGGCCGAAAGGCUCGCUAAUACCGCAUAUGCCGAAAGGUGAAAGGAGUAAUCCGUCUUAAGAUGAGCCCGCGUCCGAUUAGCUAGUUGGUAGGGUAAAGGCCUACCAAGGCGACGAUCGGUAGCUGGUCUGAGAGGAUGAUCAGCCACAAUGGGACUGAGACACGGCCCAUACUCCUACGGGAGGCAGCAGUGGGGAAUUUUGCGCAAUGGGGGAAACCCUGACGUAGCGACACCGCGUGAGCGAAGAAGCCCCUUGGGGUGUAAAGCUCUGUCAGCUGGAACGAAAAAAAAUGACGGUACCAGCAGAGGAAGCAUCGGCUAACUACGUGCCAGCAGCCGCGGUAAGACGUAGGAUGCGAGCGUUGUCCGGAUUUAUUGGGCGUAAAGAGUUCGUAGGUGGUUUGUCAAGUCUGAUGUUAAAGAUCGGGGCUCAACCCUGGGACUGCAUUGGAUACUGGCAGACUUGAGUGUGGUAGAGGCUAGUGGAAUUCCCAGUGUAGCGGUGAAAUGCGUAGAUAUUGGGAAGAACACCGGUGGCGUAGGCGACUAGCUGGGCCAUAACUGACACUGAGGAACGAAAGCCAGGGUAGCGAAUGGGAUUAGAUACCCCAGUAGUCCUGGCCGUAAACGAUGGAUACUAGGCGUAUCGGGUAUCGACCCCUGAUGUGCCGCAGCUAACGCGAUAAGUAUCCCGCCUGAGUAGUACGGCCGCAAGGUUGAAACUCAAAGGAAUUGACGGGGGCCCGCACAAGCG
rnacentral:rRNA from 1 species